rnacentral:ncRNA from 1 species
UUGAAUGGGGUGCCCAUAGGCUGAGAUCAUACCCGUAGACCUGAACUGGAUAAUGCCAGCGUAGGGAAGGCA